CGGGCAUGCGGGCGUGAGUGCAUACACAUGUAUAUGCAGGUAUAUGAACAUGUCCUCAGAGUCCAAAAGAGUUUGUCUGAUUCCCUGGAGCUGGAGUUAGAAGUGAUUGUGGAGAGUAAGCAACUCUUGACAGGUUUUCAAAUCAAGAAAUGAAAUUGAGAAUAGUCAGGCUCAGUGACAUGGGCCUAUUCCCAGCACCUGGGAAGUUGGGGCAGAAGAACCAUGAAUAUGAAGCGAGUCUGGGCUACACAGAAAAACACUAUCUCAAACAAACAAACAAAUUAAAAAAAAAAAAACCAAAACCCUGAAAAGGUUAAACAUGAACUAUCUUCUUUCCCAUUCC